rnacentral:rRNA from 1 species
AUACGGAGGAUCCGAGCGUUAUCCGGAUUUAUUGGGUUUAAAGGGUGCGCAGGCGGGAGAUUAAGUCGGCGGUGAAAAUUUUCAGCUCAAAUGUAAAAGUGCCUUCCAUACUGGGUUCCUUGAGUGUGGAUGGAGGAGGCGGGAUUUGUGGGGUUGCGGUGGAAUGCUUAGAUAUCACGAGGAACUCCGAUUGCGCAGGCAGCUUACUAAACCACUACUGACGCUCAGGCACGAAGGCGUGGGGAUCAAACAGGAUUAGAUACCCUGGUAGUCCACGCAGUAAACGAUGAUUACUGGCUGUUUGCGAUACAAUGUAAGCGGCUGAGCGAAAGCGUUAAGUAAUCCACCUGGGGAGUACGUUCGCAAGAAUGAAACUCAAAUGAAUUGACGGGG